AGAGAUGGAUUGGUGCCUUCGGGAACUCUGAGACAGGUGCUGCAUGGCUGUCGUCAGCUCGUGUUGUGAAAUGUUGGGUUAAGUCCCGCAACGAGCGCAACCCUUAUCCUUUGUUGCCAGCGGUCCGGCCGGGAACUCAAAGGAGACUGCCAGUGAUAAACUGGAGGAAGGUGGGGAUGACGUCAAGUCAUCAUGGCCCUUACGAGUAGGGCUACACACGUGCUACAAUGGCGCAUACAAAGAGAAGCGAACUCGCGAGAGCAAGCGGACCUCAUAAAGUGCGUCGUAGUCCGGAUUGGAGUCUGCAACUCGACUCCAUGAAGUCGGAAUCGCUAGUAAUCGUAGAUC
rnacentral:rRNA from 1 species